rnacentral:rRNA from 1 species
AUUGAACGCUGGCGGCAGGCCUAAUACAUGCACGUCGAACGAGUGGCGGACGGGUGAGUAAUGUCUGGGACACUGCCCGAUGGCGGGGGAUACUACUGGAAACGGUAGCUAAUACCGCAUACCAUCGGAUGUGCCCAGAUGGGAUGUGCUAGUAGGUGGGUUACCGGCGCACCUAGGGGACGAUCCCUAGCUGGUCUGGUAGGAUGACCAGCCAGACUGGAACUGAGACACGGUCCAGACUCCUACGGGAGGCAGCAGUGGGGAAUAUUGCACAAUGGGCGCAAGCCUGAUACAGCCAUGCCGCGUGUAGGAAGAAGGCCUUCGGGUUGUAAAGUACUUUCAGCGAGGAGGCGUUACUCGCAGAAGAAGCACCGGCUAACUCCGUGCCAGCCGCCGCGGUAAUUC